GACGAACCGUGCGAACGUUGUUCGGAAUCACUGGGCUUAAAGGGCGCGUAGGCGGGCCGAAAAGUCAGGGGUGAAAUCCUCCAGCUUAACUGGAGAACUGCCUUUGAUACUGGCGGUCUGGAGUAAGGUAGGGGCAUGCGGAACUGAUGGUGGAGCGGUGAAAUGUGUUGAUAUCAUCAGGAACUCCGGUGGCGAAAGCGGUGUGCUGGAUCCUUUCUGACGCUGAUGCGCGAAAGCCAGGGGAGCAAACGGG
rnacentral:rRNA from 1 species